GCGAUGGGUGGGGCUGACGGGCAGCGCGCGCUAUAAAUGGGGACACGCGGCGGUGGCGCGCGCCUGUGGCGAUCGCGUGUGAGGUGUAUCUUGAAGCCACGUAGCCAUCCAUCAUCAUCUUACUGUGACAGAGGCAGUUCCUUCAGACAACCAGGCUUCCCUCCAGGUGGUUUCUACAAACAUCCUACUUCCCUUCAGGAGUCUUCUCUCCAGCAACCACCUACGUCUUCUAUAAUGGGUGAACCUGGAAAGAUGUCUUGAGUUUUGUGAGCCUCUUGAGCCAUCUUCCCCCCUGGACUGCAGAAACACCUGCACCACAAACAGAAGUGCUCCUCUGUGUAGAGGUCAGAGGUCAAAGCCAAAGGUCUUGUUUGAUUGCUUUUCACCUAUUGUGAUCAUUCUCACUGAACCUGGAGUUCACUGAUUUGGCCAGCAAGCCCCAGGGAUUCUCCUGUCUCUACCUCUAGUGCCGAGGUGGCUGGCACAAGCACCAUGCCUGGCUUUUUAUAGGCGAGCUAGGGAAUCAAACUCAGGUCCUCACACUUAAGUACUUACCCACUGAGUCACCCCUGAGCUCCUUUGCUGGGGUGGGGGUGGGGGAUUACUUAAAAAAUGGUGAAGACAUCUUUGUGAGUCACCGAAGGUCAUUCCACUGGCAGGCGUCAGAGCUGGGAUUAAGCCCACACUGGCAUCACCCUAAGUGGCUUCUCACCAUGUGUGUCCCCCUCUCAGUGUCCAGCCUGAGGUAUCACUGCAAAGAGUGGGGCCCCUCCAGUGGUGCAUUCCCUCUAUGCACAGCUGGUAGCCAUCAGUGGGAGGUGGAGGCAGUUACACGCACACGCGUGCAUGCACACACACACACACACACACACACACGUAUCUCCCCUCUCCUCUGUACCUCUAAUAACCUGGAAAGUCAUUUUAAAGGUAUAAAGAGGAGUCAGGAACCUACAAAGAACACUGAGUGGUCACAGUCAAAGUGCCUUGCUGCUGUCUCUGUGGUCCAGAGCUCAGAAGCUGUCACCUACCAGCACCAGGCUUCACACCACGAUGAACAUUCUGCCACCUUCACAAGCUGGGGGACCAAAUUCUAGGCUAAGUCCUGACUGUUAGUUCCCACCCUUGCAUCUGGCAGACACGAGGAUGCCAUUUUGCCUGUACCACUGGACCCCGUCUUUAUACCUCAGUCAUUCUCCUGCCUCAACAUACCAGAGCCAAUCUGUUCCUUCCCUGCUCACAACUCUCCCAUGGCUCCCCAGCACACUCUAGGGAAGAAAAGAGAACCCAGUGUGGAGAUCCAGGUCCGUACUCUCCAAUCUCAUAGGUCUUCAUGCUGGAUUUAGGUACCAUGAGUGAAUUACACACCCACAUCCCCUUCCCCACCAAUCCCCAGUGUGAAUGUCUCUUCUACCCAAAAUGCCCUUCCCUGGUCUCCAUGGUCACCAUUCUGGUCUCCCCGACAACCCCCUCCCAUUCUCGGAGCCUCUUUCCUGUCUGACUCCGAGGUCUGGGUGAGGGAGGCCAAGUGCUGUGCGGCUAGGACCCAUGGCUAUGAACUUGCAGGAAGUGAGGACAGGUGAAGGGGCUGGGGCAGAGGUGGGGGGAGGGAGGGGAGGGAGCUGACUCCUGACCUCCUCCCCCAGAAUGUGACCUUGGCCAUGGCCGUGUUCACCAUCCUAGCCUCCAUCUACUUCUUCAACAAGGUGAGGGGGAGGCGGGAUGAGAGGGCUCUGUCUCUCCUGUCUCUCUUCAUUUGGCCCUGGAGCUUUUACUAUCCUGAGCUGCCACGUGUCUACAUUGUACUUCUAUCUCUGCUCUAGGCUCAGCAGUAAGAAGGCAUGACGCCCCACUCCACCAGCUUGGCCCCCGCCUGCUCUGCCAUUGCGCUGGCCUCUGAGAUCCAAUAAAUGUAACAGCACCAGACCAAGGCUCCCUGCUCCCUAAGCCCUGCUCCCCACAACCAUGGAUCUCAGCAGGAAGAUGAAAAGGAGAGACCUGGUCCCUAGAUCUCAGGGAGGAGGCUAGGGACCUGUCCCUCCAAGUCUAUGGGAGGAGGCUGGGCCCUGGACCUCUGAAUCUGAGGGAGGAAGCUGGGUCCUGGACCUCUGGGUCUGAGAAAGGAGACUGGGUCCUGGAUCUCAAAAUCUGUGGGAAGAGGCUGGGCCCUGGACCUCCAAGUCUGUGGAAGGAGGCUGGGCCUUGGAUCUCUUGCAUCUGUGGGAGGAGGUUGGGCUUAGAGUCCUAUGUCUGUGGGAGGAGUGCUGGAGCUUGGACCCCUAGGUCUGAGGGAGAAGUGGGUUUUGAAGAAUGCGUAGGAAUCUUUAGGUCACAUGAGUAUUUAAGGGGCAUUUCAGCUGUGAGUGCCAGGGCACAGAAAAGAACUUCCAGGGCCCAAUUCUCCAUCUGGCACUAAACAGCUUGCUCAGGACUUCAGACCUGUCUCUCUGAGCACUCCUACCCAGCAAAGGUGAAAAUCUGUUUAAAGAAAGGCCACACUAAGGAUUGCCAGAGAUCAAAGGUGUGGGCAGAUGUUGCGACUGUGUGUAAAGAGUCUGGAUAUAAUUCCUUCCCUGGUUAUCUUAAAAAAUGAUAAUAUUUCUUCCUUUUAUUUUUUUCUUGUCUUAGCAAACUCCUAUUCAACUGUGAUCACCUGCCAUCAAAUCCCUUUCCAAUAGAAGUGUCCAGAACCCCAAAAUAGAGGAGAUCUGUUAGCACACGCCAACCUUCCUGCCUCCUCCAACCUCCCCAAAGU
ensembl:processed_transcript Gm28496 predicted gene 28496